UACGAGGGGUGCAAGCGUUGCUCGGAAUUAUUGGGCGUAAAGGGUAGGUAGGUGGUCUCAUUUGUCUGAGGUGAAAGCCUUGAGCUUAACUCAAGAAGUGCCUUAGAAACGGUGAGACUGGAGUCCUGGAGAGGGUCGUGGAAUUCCCGGUGUAGCGGUGAAAUGCGCAGAUAUCGGGAAGAACACCCGUGGCGAAGGCGGCUCUCUGGGACGGUACUGACGCUGAGACGCGAAAGCGUGGGGAGCAAACGGG
rnacentral:rRNA from 1 species